rnacentral:lncRNA from 1 species
UAUUUUAUUUUUUAAAAAAAAACUCUUUGCUAAAUACAACAAUCUGUAAUGCAAAUUUUCUGACUUGACUCUCUAGUCUUCAUAUUCAAAGAGAGUCCCGGGCAUGUCCUCAUCCUUUUCUUCUACCAUAUCUUCCUUCUCUUCAGCUGCUACAGAAGCUGCAGCCGCACCACCAGAACUUGCAGGUGCACCACUGCUGAUAAAACUGUCACCCCCAACACUACCAUCAACAAUAUCCUAUGACAAAACAUAUUAAAAAAUGCAAGGAUCAGAAAAAAGAAAUCAAUGAGAAACUUAAAAAGUAAAAAAUAUAGAAAAAUAAAGGAUCAACAUGAAAAAAUUGAUAUUACAAUUAAGCAAAAGCAUAAGCAAAGACGUACAAAAAAAAAAAACGCGAAAAGAAAGAUGAAUAGAUAAAAAAAAAAAAAAAACCCUCGAAACAGAAAGAACUGAAAAAAGGAGUAACCAAGGAGAAAGACGAAGAAACAACACCAGAGUCGCGAGAAAGAGAAGCUUGAACAAGUUUCCUCUGCAAAUCAUAAGUAGAAUAAGCAGAUUCUUUAGUCUCACCAUCACAAGCUAGUUGCUUUGCACUCCAUUCACUUCUCGAAGUUCUGCAAACGAAUGUAUAAACACCCAUUGUUGUUAUUUUCUCAAAAACCAACAAACCCUAAAACUUCUUAUUCAAUUGUAGUGAGAAAAGAUAGAGAAACAUGAAACCUUUAUAUAGCUUUCCUACAACCCUAGAGGCAGUUAUGCUCUAACAACUAUAGUGUGGGAUAGCCACCCAUUUUUCUUCCUUUUUUUAACAACAAUGGUUGAUACGGGAACUUUAGCUGGAUCACAAACGCAUCUUGCUCCUCCAUUUUUUGCUUCUCUAUUCAACAACCAAACUAAGAAAAAAAAGGUUUUUGAUAGUCCCUCUAGAAGAUGGGUAAUUAACAUUUGAUCCAAUCUUUAUCGUUUAUUAGUAAAUGAUCCAUUUUCCGUCACUUGAUUGUUAGUCAACCCAGUUGACUAGAGUCAAGGCAUCCCUGAUAGUAGCUAAAAAAGUAACCACUAAUCAAAAGAUGAAUUGUUAGAGAGAUUUUCCUUCUUAUGCCUAUAAUAAUUGGUUAUCAAUGUAAAACAAGUAACAAGCAAGGGUUGUACCCGCCUCGAAAAGAGAAUUCUAAUUAGCUUAAACACAAUAAAAAAUAAUAAUUAAAGAACACAAAAUGAAUCGACUAAUCGAAUGAGAUUGAUUCUACUUCCUACAGACAAUAAAAUAAUUAAACUAAUAAUAGAAGAUGGAAAGAAGAUCUUAUGAUGAUUAGGAGGAAGAAUUGGUAUCCACAAACUAAACAAUGCAAAACAUACAUGUCAUUCAAUCAUAUUCAACUAUAGCAAUUACUUAGUCACCUCUCAGGUAAUCCAAAUAUUCACUAAUGCUUAUAAUAAUCGAAUAGUCACCUCCCAGCUAUUCCAUUCAAUUAAAAUGAGAUUUUUAUAUGCAUUCAUUGAAUAUACUUUAUUAAUUAAACUGCCACCUCUUAGCUAUUCAAUUCAAUUAACUUAGCAUAUUGAUUCAUAAACAAAUUAUCACCUUUCAGCUAUUCAACUUGAUUACAAAAUGGUUCCAAUCGAAGAGAUUAAUUGUAGAUAUGUCAGUUCUUAGCUAUUCCUUGAUAUAUCUCCAAUUAAUCUAACACAACCAUUAUAGCUAGGUCUCUCUAUACUCUAACAAUAGUAUCAGGGAUGCCUUGACUCUGGUCAACUGGGUUAACUAACAGUCAAGUGACGAAAAUAAGACUAUUUACUAAUAAACGAUAAAGAUUGGACCAAAUGCUAAUUACCCAUCUUCUAGAGGGAUCAAAUACACAAUAUCCUAAAAAAUCCCUGUUUUCACUCCAGUCACAUAGAGAUCUUUCAAAAAAGAAGGUAAACUUGUUAUCUCCUUCAACAAAGAAGAAAUAAAACGAAGCUAAAAAUAUAUCUUUUCCAAAUUUGUAGUCCUCAAAUUCUCACCUGAAAGUCCUCCUCUUAACCACAUCAAAACAAACAUCCACAAAGACUGGAACAUAUAUAUCUGCAAACUUCAACCUUGGACUUCUAGAUCCAAGACAUGUUUUAAUAAGCUUUGAAUCAGAAGUAGAAAUUACCAAAACCCUGUCAAGAUACAAUUGCCAUGGGGAUUAGAUUCAAAAUCUUCAAAUGGCAUUUUGGUUUUAGUUUAAAAAAAGAUCCAAACUUAGCACUAACUUAGGUAGGUCUACCAAAUAUACCAUUAGAUUUCUUCCACCUCUCUAUGCUUAAAUCCAUUUGAGAUGGCCUAGCAUUUUUCUUUCCGACAAAGAUACUUUUAACCUAACCAGACCAGAUGUAGCUCGAAUUUGUGUGGAGAUGGAUGUGCAAGAAGACAUGCCUAAAUCUGUUUGGCUUGAAGAUCUUAAUUUCAAUGGAUUCUGGCAAUCAUUUACAGUACUACCCAAGCUUCCUCUUUUGCUAUUAUUGUUCCAAAAUUGGCCACUGCAAGAGAAAAAAAAAAUCAGAUAUCACUGCACCCAACCCCAAAGGGAAAGCCAUUGCAAUUGAAAAAAGAAUCUCACUCAUCUCAACUGAUCCAAGGGAUUUGAACCCCUUCCAAAAAUCAACAGAAGCAAAGCUUGCUCAUAUCAACUCUCAUAUCUACAAAGCCACGAGUAACAAUUUUCCUCCCCACCCACAAUGCCACAAUUGCUAAUUGGGGAAUAAAGCAAUUCCUCCCGAUUAGACAACCUCCCCCCAUCUUCUCAAUAAAAAAACCCCAAAUAGAACACACCAUCCAACACCUCUCUACCACAAUCUCAUAACCCUCCAAACCUCACAACUUCAAACUCAUUUUCCUUACUAACUAUUGAAGAAAAUGAGGAUCAGAAGAGAUCCACAACUCUCCCACCAAAACAUCACAUCUAAUAGAAAAUAACUCCAAUGCAGUCACACUAAAUAAAACUACCCCCCAGCCCCCACCCACCCCCAUCUCUUCCAAAAAAUAACAUCAACUCAGAAGAACAUCUCAUACCAAUAAUCAGUCCAACUCACAGUUCACCUCAAAACCUAGAGGCUACCACUACUCUUUAACCCAUAACUCAGAAGAAACAAACACCUAAUUAACUCUAUCCCUUCUGGUUUCCUCAACAAGGCAUAAAAUGCAAUAAAGAGCAAUUCUCCAACAACAAGUCACAAAAUCCCCUCACCCCUUGCAAUCAAUCAUCACAAAUCAACUCA